rnacentral:rRNA from 1 species
AUUGAACGCUGGCGGCAGGCCUAACACAUGCAAGUCGAACGGUAACAGGAAGAAGCUUGCUUCUUUGCUGACGAGUGGCGGACGGGUGAGUAAUGUCUGGGAAACUGCCUGAUGGAGGGGGAUAACUACUGGAAACGGUAGCUAAUACCGCAUAACGUCGCAAGACCAAAGAGGGGGACCUUCGGGCCUCUUGCCAUCGGAUGUGCCCAGAUGGGAUUAGCUAGUAGGUGGGGUAACGGCUCACCAAGGCGACGAUCCCUAGCUGGUCUGAGAGGAUGACCAGCCACACUGGAACUGAGACACGGUCCAGACUCCUACGGGAGGCAGCAGUGGGGAAUAUUGCACAAUGGGCGCAAGCCUGAUGCAGCCAUGCCGCGUGUAUGAAGAAGGCCUUCGGGUUGUAAAGUACUUUCAGCGGGGAGGAAGGGAGUAAAGUUAAUACCUUUGCUCAUAGACGUUACCCGCAGAAGAAGCACCGGCUAACUCCGUGCCAGCAGCCGCGGUAAUACGGAAGGUGCAAGCGUUAAUCGGAAUUACUGGGCGUAAAGCGCACGCAGGCGGUUUGUUAAGUCAGAUGUGAAAUCCCCGGGCUCAACCUGGGAACUGCAUCUGAUACUGGCAAGCUUGAGUCUCGUAGAGGGGGGUAGAAUUCCAGGUGUAGCGGUGAAAUGCGUAGAGAUCUGGAGGAAUACCGGUGGCGAAGGCGGCCCCCUGGACGAAGACUGACGCUCAGGUGCGAAAGCGUGGGGAGCAAACAGGAUUAGAUACCCUGGUAGUCCACGCCGUAAACGAUGUCGACUUGGAGGUUGUGCCCUUGAGGCGUGGCUUCCGGAGCUAACGCGUUAAGUCGACCGCCUGGGGAGUACGGCCGCAAGGUUAAAACUCAAAUGAAUUGACGGGGGCCCGCACAAGCGGUGGAGCAUGUGGUUUAAUUCGAUGCAACGCGAAGAACCUUACCUGGUCUUGACAUCCACGGAAGUUUUCAGAGAUGAGAAUGUGCCUUCGGGAACCGUGAGACAGGUGCUGCAUGGCUGUCGUCAGCUCGUGUUGUGAAAUGUUGGGUUAAGUCCCGCAACGAGCGCAACCCUUAUCCUUUGUUGCCAGCGGUCCGGCCGGGAACUCAAAGGAGACUGCCAGUGAUAAACUGGAGGAAGGUGGGGAUGACGUCAAGUCAUCAUGGCCCUUACGACCAGGGCUACACACGUGCUACAAUGGCGCAUACAAAGAGAAGCGACCUCGCGAGAGCAAGCGGACCUCAUAAAGUGCGUCGUAGUCCGGAUUGGAGUCUGCAACUCGACUCCAUGAAGUCGGAAUCGCUAGUAAUCGUGGAUCAGAAUGCCACGGUGAAUACGUUCCCGGGCCUUGUACACACCGCCCGUCACACCAUGGGAGUGGGUUGCAAAAGAAGUAGGUAGCUUAACCUUCGGGAGGGCGCUUACCACUUUGUGAUUCAUGACUGGGGUGAAGUCGU